GGCUAUAAUUAUAAUUAAAUAAUCUUUUUAAACACCACUUCUCAAUGACUUUAUCUUCAUUGAUUAUGAGCUCUGAUUUUGGUAAACAAUAACCAGGGAAACUUCUACGCUAGACUUUUUCCAUUUCUUUAAAUACAUAUUAGAUAUGUGGGUGUGUUUUUGCGUGUGUGAGUGUGUUAAACCUAUUGCAAGGAAAACCUCUGCAAUAGAUUUUAAUUAAAGCCCAAACAGGCCUAAUCGGCACUUUCCAAUACCCAGGCAAGCGGCUGUUUCAGCCCAAUUUAAUUAGCGGUUUACUGGAGUGAUACAACAGCUUCAUUAUGCAUGCCAAAGGUCAAUACAGGCGAGUGGGAGUGUCAGCUUGUGUGGGAGGGAGAAGGGUCUUAAAUGUGUUGUGGGCUUGUGAUUUAACAAUCUUGGUUUAAAAAAACAAAAAAACAAUGGCUAGCUAAUUCAAUUUGUCUUGUGCGUGUUCAUGUGUGUAUUUGAGAGCAUGUGUGUAUGUGUGUGUGUCAUGCUGAUGGAAUUGCCUCUGGGCUAACCAUCACACAUUAACCCCUUAUUUGACCCCUAUAAAGAUGUCUACCGUGACGUUUAUCUCUUUGGUAAAAGAUGCAGUUGCAGGUGCUGACGCAUAGAUCACCAAGCAACAAAACCUCUGCAGAUUUACACGCAGCAGAGGCCGUUUCCGUCUCUGCUGCUCUUAACUGUGCCACGCAAACACAUGCACGCUUCUGGCUGUUUCACAGGAGUUGAGUGAAAAAUUAUAAAUCACCACUCCUCUGUCUUUAAAUGCCAUUCAGUCCCAAAGUGAGUCUGCGGCGACUAGUGCUAAUUCCCCACCCUCCUACAAGCAUUGAUAAGUCUGUGAUUCAGAGUGUACGAGAUUUGCUGUCUUUGUGCUGCCAGUUCAUCAGACAUUGAUCUGGUCAGCGGGAGUAGAAAAGAGAACAACAACCUCACUCUGACUCAAUCAGACUUCACCUGAUGAUUUCUUUUGUUUUUAGAACUGUCCAAAACCAAUAAUCACAUGUUGACCCUUUAAUUGACCCCUAAAAAGAUGUCCCUGCUUUCUGAAGGGAUAGGUCAGGUGUGAGGAGGCAUGACGGUUAACAUUUCUCUGAACCCCCAUUUUCUCACUCUGCAUACAACUACUUGUGUGUCCAUGUGUCCUUGCUUUUCUCUGUUUGCAGCUUACGUUUGAGUGCGAACAUUUGGAACAGCUGCAUGUAAAGGCGGUGAGGUCCAUUCCAGUUCCCGUAGACGAUGUCUGUCUUGCCGUCGCGGUUGAAGUCUGCCAGAGCAACCCCUCUGCCAUGCUGCAUGGGGUCCUCCACACCUGCAGUUAUUUGCCUGCUGCGCCACAUCCGUGAAAGUUCCAUCUCCAUUGUUCUUGAACAGGAAGUUGGGUCCGUACUCGUUGUCACAAAACACAUCGGACAGCGUUUGACUGACGAUGGGACCCACCACUACACCUCGCCCUCCUGCACAUAAAAGGAUUAAGUGGCCAGUGUAUCAUAUGUUCCUGAGCUAUAAGCCAACAGUGCUUCCCGUACCCACCAACACAAGGCAGAAACCCCGGAGAGCCUUGGUCCUGACCAACCUGUAAUUACAGCAUCUUCAGAGUCUCGUCCAAGAGACACAGGGAGCCGAGAGACAUGGCAUGGUCGGGGAUUUCUAAGAAUGGACUGAGAGACUUGGAGCGAUGUGGAGAAACGGGGGGAGUGUCACCAGCUAAAUUUGGUCAAACCAUGCAAUACAAUCCUAAGCUGUCUUGGCAACUGGUAAAGUGGAAGAUGUUACAUGGCAACUGAACAUUUUAUUGUCUCAAAUGCAACAAUUUUUCUGUGACUUUGCUCACAUUUUGUAAUUAUAAUUAUAGUGGCAAUUUCAGAGUGUGAUCCUUACAAUUACCCAUAAGUCCAGGCUGAAACAGAAUGAACUGUUUUCCAAAUAGUCUUCUGGUUAAUGUUGGUUGUAUAUAAACAUCUCAUUUACAACAACACAGAUUAGGUUCCAUCUUGAUUUUAGAAACCAAAUGCUGUAAAAUAACUAGUAUAUAACUGGCAGCUAUAGGACACUGAGGCAUUUGUACACCUUGAAUCAGUCAAAAACACGUAGUGAGAGAGAACAAAUAAGCAUCUGUGGACAUAGAAAACAGGUACAGAUUUGGAUACAAACACAUCAUCGUGGUUCAGACCAGUAUAACGCCUGAGGCUUCAGCAAAACACCAGGUCAUAAGAAGGACAGGCAAACCAAGAUGUAUCAAGUCACAACCGCCUACAUGCCAGAGCCUUAUAUUUUACACACACAAUAAAAAUUGACAUAAUGGCUUACGUUUGCCCAAACUUUUCACUGUACAUUUACAAGCAGAUUUGUUGAAUGUAUAGUAUUAUCCACUCUGUUGUGGCUUAGGUCAGACUAAAAAAGCAGGAGUGCUAUUGUUUAAGUGUCUUUUCCUUGACCUUAGAGGGAGAUGUAAAAACAAAAUCCUGAAACAGCCAGUGAACAGCUUCCCUGCAGGCUUCACUCCAAGCCCUUCAAGCUACAGCAGCCCUGUCCUUUGUCAUAUCUCUCUUCUUGGUGAGCAGCCAAAUCUCUUGUUGCAGCCAUUCAAAUCUACCCAUGUAAUUCCUCACUCAGCUUUUACUUGUACUUCUCAUCUCCCCUUCUUUGCAUUAAAUGUCGAAUCUGUACUGCGAUAGAAAAUCGA